AAGGCCGAGAGCUGAUGACGAGUUACCUUUCAGGUGACGAAGUGGUUGAUGCCAUGCUUCCAAGAAAAGCUUCUAAGCUUCAGAUAACCAGGAACCGUACCCCAAACCGACACAGGUGGUUGGGUAGAGAAUACCAAGGCGCUUGAGAGAACUCGGGUGAAGGAACUAGGCAAAAUGGCACCGUAACUUCGGGAGAAGGUGCGCCGGUGAGGGUGAAGCAUUUACUGCGUAAGCCCACGCCGGUCGAAGAUACCAGGCCGCUGCGACUGUUUAUUAAAAACACAGCACUCUGCAAACACGAAAGUGGACGUAUAGGGUGUGACGCCUGCCCGGUGCCGGAAGGUUAAUUGAUGGGGUUAGCUAACGCGAAGCUCUUGAUCGAAGCCCCGGUAAACGGCGGCCGUAACUAUAACGGUCCUAAGGUAGCGAAAUUCCUUGUCGGGUAAGUUCCGACCUGCACGAAUGGCGUAACGAUGGCGGCGCUGUCUCCACCCGAGACUCAGUGAAAUUGAAAUCGCUGUGAAGAUGCAGUGUAUCCGCGGCUAGACGGAAAGACCCCGUGAACCUUUACUAUAGCUUUGCACUGGACUUUGAAUUUGCUUGUGUAGGAUAGGUGGGAGGCUUUGAAGCGUGGACGCCAGUUCGCGUGGAGCCAUCCUUGAAAUACCACCCUGGCAACUUUGAGGUUCUAACUCAGGUCCGUUAUCCGGAUCGAGGACAGUGUAUGGUGGGUAGUUUGACUGGGGCGGUCUCCUCCUAAAGAGUAACGGAGGAGUACGAAGGUGCGCUCAGACCGGUCGGAAAUCGGUCGUAGAGUAUAAAGGCAAAAGCGCGCUUGACUGCGAGACAGACACGUCGAGCAGGUACGAAAGUAGGUCUUAGUGAUCCGGUGGUUCUGUAUGGAAGGGCCAUCGCUCAACGGAUAAAAGGUACUCCGGGGAUAACAGGCUGAUACCGCCCAAGAGUUCAUAUCGACGGCGGUGUUUGGCACCUCGAUGUCGGCUCAUCACAUCCUGGGGCUGAAGCCGGUCCCAAGGGUAUGGCUGUUCGCCAUUUAAAGUGGUACGCGAGCUGGGUUUAGAACGUCGUGAGACAGUUCGGUCCCUAUCUGCCGUGGACGUUUGAGAUUUGAGAGGGGCUGCUCCUAGUACGAGAGGACCGGAGUGGACGAACCUCUGGUGUUCCGGUUGUCACGCCAGUGGCAUUGCCGGGUAGCUAUGUUCGGAAUAGAUAACCGCUGAAAGCAUCUAAGCGGGAAACUAGCCUCAAGAUGAGAUCUCACUGGGACCUUGAGUCCCCUGAAGGGCCGUCGAAGACUACGACGUUGAUAGGUUGGGUGUGUAAGCGCUGUGAGGCGUUGAGCUAACCAAUACUAAUUGCCCGUGAGGCUUGACCAU
rnacentral:rRNA from 1 species